GACGAACGCUGGCGGCGUGCUUAACACAUGCAAGUCGAACGGAAAGGCCCUGCUUUUGUGGGGUGCUCGAGUGGCGAACGGGUGAGUAACACGUGAGUAACCUGCCCUUGACUUUGGGAUAACUUCAGGAAACUGGGGCUAAUACCGGAUAGGAGCUCCUGCUGCAUGGUGGGGGUUGGAAAGUUUCGGCGGUUGGGGAUGGACUCGCGGCUUAUCAGCUUGUUGGUGGGGUAGUGGCUUACCAAGGCUUUGACGGGUAGCCGGCCUGAGAGGGUGACCGGCCACAUUGGGACUGAGAUACGGCCCAGACUCCUACGGGAGGCAGCAGUGAGGAAUAUUGCACAAUGGGCGGAAGCCUGAUGCAGCAACGCCGCGUGCGGGAUGACGGCCUUCGGGUUGUAAACCGCUUUCGCCUGUGACGAAGAGUGAGUGACGGUAAUGGGUAAAGAAGCACCGGCUAACUACGUG
rnacentral:rRNA from 1 species